AUGCGUGCAGUAUGCAGAAAAAUCCAAACAAACAGACAAAAUUAUGCAACAGAAAACACCAGACAAAUCACACUAAGGUGUUUUAAUGCUAGUGGGUAUAUGUACCCCUGGUAUACAUAUACAUACACUAGCGCGUAUUUUAUUAGAGACUCGGAACGAGUCAAUGUUGUUUUUAGUGUAUGUGUCGUACUGACUAAAAUCUUGUUAACACGGUGCCAACCCUGUCAAACAUUUCUAUUUUAUAGAGAGAUAAGCAAAAACAAACACACAAACAAAAGCAAACAAGCAAAUAACACAGCAUACGGGUUACAACAGUACCAGCAUACAACAAGCACAGACGCGCUACGCGCUAAACGAAACUACUCGCUCCGGGAUACAUGGUUCUAUCCGCAUAUCGAAGACGAACCGACAGACCGACCUACUAGCAGGAACCACUGA
rnacentral:rRNA from 1 species